AACGAACGCUGGCGGCAUGCCUAAUACAUGCAAGUCGAACGAGAUCUUCGGAUCUAGUGGCGCACGGGUGCGUAACGCGUGGGAAUCUGCCCUUGGGUUCGGAAUAACUUCUGGAAACGGAUGCUAAUACCGGAUGAUGACGUAAGUCCAAAGAUUUAUCGCCCAAGGAUGAGCCCGCGUAGUAUUAGCUAGUUGGUGGGGUAAAGGCCCACCAAGGCGACGAUCCUUAGCUGGUCUGAGAGGAUGAUCAGCCACACUGGGACUGAGACACGGCCGAGAAUCCUACGGGAGGCAGCAGUAGGGAAUAUUGGACAAUGGGCGAAAGGCUGAUCCAGCAAUGCCGCGUGAGUGAUGAAGGCCUUAGGGUUGUAAAGCUCUUUUACCCGGGAUGAUAAUGACGGUACCGGGAGAAUAAGCUCCGGCUAACUCCGUG
rnacentral:rRNA from 1 species